rnacentral:rRNA from 1 species
UACAGAGGGUGCAAGCGUUUAAUCGGAAUUACUGGGCGUAAAGCGUGCGUAGACGGUUACAUAAGUCGGGUGUGAAAGCCCCGGGCUCAACCUGGGAAUUGCAUUCGAGACUGCGUAGCUAGGGUGCGGAAGAGGGAAGCGGAAUUUCCGGUGUAGCGAUGAAAUGCGUAGAUAUCGGAAGGAACACCAGUGGCGAAAAGCGGCUUCCUGGUCCAGCACCGACGUUCAGGCACGAAAAGCGUGGGGGAGCAAACAGG